GACGAACGCUGGCGGCGUGCCUAAUACAUGCAAGUAGAACGCAGUUGCGAACGGGUGAGUAACGCGUAGGUAACCUGCCUCAAAGAGGGGGAUAACUAUUGGAAACGAUCGCUAAUACCGCAUACUGUGAGAUGGACCUGCGUGGUAUUAGCUAGUUGGUGAGGUAAAGGCUCACCAAGGAGACGAUACAUAGCCGACCUGAGAGGGUGACCAGCCACACUGGGACUGAGACACGGUCCAGACUCCUACGGGAGGCAGCAGUGGGGAAUAUUGCACAAUGGGCGCAAGCCUGAUGCAGCAAUGCCGCGUGUAUGAAGAAGGCCUUCGGAUUGUAAAGUACUUUCAGCGGAGAAGCGUUACCCACAGAAGAAGCACCGGCUAACUCCGUGCCAGCAGCCGCGGUAAUAC
rnacentral:rRNA from 1 species